rnacentral:rRNA from 1 species
AGCUACGUCGGCUCGGCUGUCGAGAUAGAACCCUUGCCUUUUUGAGUACCUUUCUGUUUCCUCGGCAGGCUCGCCUGCCAAUGGGGACCCCAAUAAACACUUUGUAGUACCUGUAACUGUCUGAAAAACAAACAAAUAAUUAAAACUUUCAACAACGGAUCUCUUGGUUCUGGCAUCGAUGAAGAACGCAGCGAAAUGCGAUAAGUAGUGUGAAUUGCAGAUUUCAGUGAAUCAUCGAAUCUUUGAACGCACAUUGCGCCCUUUGGUAUUCCUUAGGGCAUGCCUGUUCGAGCGUCAUUUAAACCUUCAAGCUCAGCUUGGUGAUGGGUGACUGUCCGCUGCCUCCCCCCGGGGUGCGCCGCGGACUCGCCUCAAAUUUAUUGGCGGCCGGUACGUUGGCUUCGAGCGCAGCAGAAACGCGUAACUCGAGGUCUCCGUGGCGGCUCCCACAAGCAACCUUCAUUAUUUUGACCUCGGAUCAGGUAGGGAUACCCGCUGAACUUAAGCAUAUCAAAA